rnacentral:rRNA from 1 species
GGAGGCGCGGCCUAUACUGCAGUCGAGCGAACAGAUAGGAGCUUGCUCCUUUGAAGUUAGCGGCGGACGGGUGAGUAACACGUGGGUAACCUACCUAUAAGACUGGGAUAACUUCGGGAAACCGGAGCUAAUACCGGAUAACAUUUAGAACCGCAUGGUUCUAAAGUGAAAGAUGGUUUUGCUAUCACUUAUAGAUGGACCCGCGCCGUAUUAGCUAGUUGGUAAGGUAACGGCUUACCAAGGCGACGAUACGUAGCCGACCUGAGAGGGUGAUCGGCCACACUGGAACUGAGACACGGUCCAGACUCCUACGGGAGGCAGCAGUAGGGAAUCUUCCGCAAUGGGCGAAAGCCUGACGGAGCAACGCCGCGUGAGUGAUGAAGGGUUUCGGCUCGUAAAACUCUGUUAUUAGGGAAGAACAAAUGUGUAAGUAACUGUGCACAUCUUGACGGUACCUAAUCAGAAAGCCACGGCUAACUACGUGCCAGCAGCCGCGGUAAUACGUAGGUGGCAAGCGUUAUCCGGAAUUAUUGGGCGUAAAGCGCGCGUAGGCGGUUUCUUAAGUCUGAUGUGAAAGCCCACGGCUCAACCGUGGAGGGUCAUUGGAAACUGGGAAACUUGAGUGCAGAAGAGGAAAGUGGAAUUCCAUGUGUAGCGGUGAAAUGCGCAGAGAUAUGGAGGAACACCAGUGGCGAAGGCGACUUUCUGGUCUGUAACUGACGCUGAUGUGCGAAAGCGUGGGGAUCAAACAGGAUUAGAUACCCUGGUAGUCCACGCCGUAAACGAUGAGUGCUAAGUGUUAGGGGGUUUCCGCCCCUUAGUGCUGCAGCUAACGCAUUAAGCACUCCGC